UCCCCUGUAAUAAUGUUGCUCUGCCAGCCCUAUACACGAGAGGGGGACUAUAUAAGAAUCAAUGGAGCUGUCACUACCACGAACUACCCCGCGGUCUGGCAUAUAGGGUACAAUCGCAGAUAAAUACGGUAUAGGCACGACGCCUACACAAUACUUAUCAUUUACCCACUAUACACAUGGAUAAACGCCAUACGAUCCUAAACAUGUAUAUAAUUCCAAUCUAACUAAGCCAAGCAUAUAACUAUGAUAAACUAAGAACAAUAUAAUUGCAAAUAUAACAAGUAGAGCAAAGUCAUAAUCAAUAUAUUGAAGUAGAAUAAAGUCAUAUUGAUAAUAUUGAAGAACAAUGAUGAGCAAAUGAAGAACAGUAGAGGUAUUACCAAGAAUCCUCUUGACAGAUCCGGAAACCAAUCAAAGAUUGACUCCUUCUAGUUCU
rnacentral:lncRNA from 1 species